UAUGCAGAGCAUAUGAGAAAGCACUGAAACUGACUGAAGUGUGUUCAGUCCAGCACUGAGCUUUGUGUC
ensembl:snoRNA